ACCCCUCCCUCCCUCCCUCAGCCCCGGGCAGAGAGAGGCUGCUUGGCGGGUCAGCUCAAUUCAUGAAGCCUAUCAAAAACCAGGAGAUAAGCGAUACCCCCUGCCGACGUGGAUAAGGCACUGGCAGACGGCUGUCUACCUCUGACCAAGUUUUUGACGUGUCUGCCUGCCUUGCCCUCUGGACCUGGUGCCUGUUUGGACUGCCUUCCUGUUACCGAUCUG